AGAAGACAAAGAUGUGAUACCAGCCACAAAUCUGACUUUGGGAGGGUUAAGUGAAGUGAGGACAAUACAGGUAAAUGGCUGUAUGUACUCAGGAAUAUAAUUUGGAAGAUGUUAAAUGGCAGCUACUGAGCAAUUUGUGUAUGGCUAGACUGGAUUACUCUGCUUUAAUUAGAGGCUGCCUGAUGUUGAAGUACUGAAAUAAUUUACCUCUAUAACUAAGAGCACGACUCAAGGAAGCAUUUCCUGCUGCUGAAGUCUUUCAAACCAGGUAAGUCUUAAACCUAAUAACUUCCAUUGUGAGAAUGGGGCACUACCUUAACUCAUGGGUGUUCAAGCUUUUGGCUUGCCUGGGCUGCAUUCAGUGAAGAGCAAUUGUCUAGGGCCAUUAUCUGGAAAGGUUACUUGAAAAGUAAUGCCUAAUUAUUUCCAUGGAAACUACAACAGAUAACAAAGAACACAAUAACACUAUUUAACAGACCAAGUUCUCAGCCACAAAACACUGUUUUGCAACAUAGUUACCACUAUUAGUUAUGCUUUUUCAC
rnacentral:lncRNA from 1 species